rnacentral:rRNA from 1 species
UCAGUAGCUGGUCUGAGAGGACGACCAGCCUCACUGGAACUGAGACACGGUCCAGACACCUGCGGGUGGCAGCAGUCGAGAAUUUUUCUCAAUGGGGGAAACCCUGAAGGAGCGACGCCGCGUGGGGGAUGAAUGGCUUCGGCCCGUAAACCCCUGUCAUUUGCGAACAAAAUUUACAUUUUAAUAGAGUGUGAACUGAUUGUAGCGAAAGAGGAAGGGACGGCUAACUCUGUGCCAGCAGCCGCGGUAAUACAGAGGUCCCAAGCGUUGUUCGGAUUCACUGGGCGUAAAGGGUGCGUAGGCGGUCGGGUAAGUUUGAUGUGAAAUCUCUGGGCUUAACCCAGAAAUGGCAUUGAAUACUAUUCGGCUAGAGAAUCGGAGGGGGGACUGGAAUACUUGGUGUAGCAGUGAAAUGCGUAGAUAUCAAGUGGAACACCAGUGGCGAAGGCGAGUCCCUGGACGAUUUCUGACGCUGAGGCACGAAAGCUAGGGGAGCAAACAGGAUUAGAUACCCUAGUCCUAGCUGUAAACGGUGCACGUUUGCUGUAAAAGGAAUCGACCCCUUUUGUGGCGAAGCUAACGCGUUAAACGUGCCGCCUGGGAAGUACGUUCGCAAGAUUAAAACUCAAAGAAAUUGACGGGGGCCUGCACAAGCGGUGGAGUAUGUGGCUUAAUUCGAUGCAACGCGAAGAACCUUACCUGGCCUUGACAUGCAAGUGGUAGAACCUUGAAAGAGGGACGAACCCGCAAGGGUAGCUUGCACAGGUGCUGCAUGGCUGUCGUCAGCUCGUGUCGUGAGAUGUUGGGUUAAGUCCCGCAACGAGCGCAACCCCUGUGUCCUGUUGCCACCCGGCCGAGAGGCUGGAGCACUCUGGACAGACUGCCUCGCUUAAACGAGGAGGAAGGUGGGGAUGACGUCAAGUCAGUAUGGCCCUUACGGCCAGGGCUGCACACGUACUACAAUGCCCGGUACAAAGGGAAGCAAGACCGCGAGGUGGAGCAAAUCCCCUAAAACCGGGCUCAGUUCAGAUUGUAGUCUGCAACUCGACUACAUGAAGCUGGAAUCGCUAGUAAUGGCGCAUCAGCUACGGCGCCGUGAAUACGUUCCCAGGCCUUGUACACACCGCCCGUCACAUCAUGAAAGCCGUUUGUACCCGAAGUCGUCGUGCUAACCGCAAGGAGGCAGAUGCCGAAGGUAUGGAUGGUGAUUGGGAUGAAGUCGUAACAAGGUA